GACGAACGCUGGCGGCGUGCUUAACACAUGCAAGUCGAACGGUGAAGCGCCUUCCUCUUUGGUGGGUGUGGAUGAGUGGCGAACGGGUGAGUAACACGUGAGUAACCUGCCCCCUUCUACUGGCUAACCGCAUGAAAGUGUGGCUAAUACGGGAGAUUCUGGGUCUGUCGCAUGAUGGGUCUGGGAAAGAUAUUGUUUCGGUGGGGGAUGGGCUCGCGGCUUAUCAGGUUGUUGGUGGGGUGGUGGCCUACCAAGGCGGUGACGGGUAGCCGGGCGGGGAGGGUGGACGGCCACGGUGGGGAGGAGACGCGGAGCAGACUCCGAGGGGAGGCAGCAGGGGGGAAUAGAGCACGAGGGGCGGAAGGCUGAAGCAGCGACGCGGGGUGAGAGAUGGUGGCCGUCGGGUUGAGAACCUCUUUCGCGAGGGAAGGGGGCUUGGUUAGUUUGUGGGUGGGUUGACGUUAGCUGGAGAAGAAGCGCCGGCUAACUACGUG
rnacentral:rRNA from 1 species